GAUGAACGCUGGCGGCGUGCCUAAUACAUGCAAGUCGAGCGAACAGAUAAGGAGCUUGCUCCUUUGACGUUAGCGGCGGACGGGUGAGUAACACGUGGGUAACCUAUCUAUAAGACUGGAAUAACUCCGGGAAACCGGGGCUAAUGCCGGAUAACAUGUUGAACCGCAUGGUUCUACAGUGAAAGGCGGCUUUGCUGUCACUUAUAGAUGGACCCGCGCCGUAUUAGCUAGUUGGUGAGGUAACGGCUCACCAAGGCAACGAUACGUAGCCGACCUGAGAGGGUGUUCGGCCACACUGGAACUGAGACACGGUCCAGACUCCUACGGGAGGCAGCAGUAGGGAAUCUUCCGCAAUGGGCGAAAGCCUGACGGAGCAACGCCGCGUGAGUGAUGAAGGUCUUCGGAUCGUAAAACUCUGUUAUUAGGGAAGAACAAAUGCGUAAGUAACUGUGCGCGUCUUGACGGUACCUAAUCAGAAAGCCACGGCUAACUACGUG
rnacentral:rRNA from 1 species